rnacentral:lncRNA from 1 species
GGACAAAGUGAAUAGGCUACAAAUUUAAUAAUUUGUCUUCAACUAUGAGUUAUAUUCUAUCCUAUUGAUAUGAAUUCCUUAACUCAACAAAAUGUGCACAUUCAAUCCUUACCAGGGAAUAUGAUUCACAUGCUCGGAGUGUCAAUAUGCAGUAGUAGAAUGCAGGUUUUUGGGUGUUCAAUUCAAAGACAUGAUGUUGCACUUGACUUGCUACAGGGAAACGAAGAUGGGGUGGAUUCCAUAAGUGAAAUUACCUUAUAGAGUUAUAAAGCAAAUUGGGCCAUCAUAAUCAGCUAAUAAAAACACUGAAAAGAGUUCAAAGCAGGAAGAUUGAUUCUUCAUUCUAUAUAGCAAUAUAAAUUUUUAGCAGCUAUAAUUUGUAAAUAUAUUUGUUCAGAGCAUUUGUAGUGAAUGUAAAUGUACAUUAGACGCAAGGCAGAACAAAU